rnacentral:rRNA from 1 species
AACGAACGCUGGCGGCGCGCCUAAUACAUGCAAGUCGAGCGAGAAGACGUAGCAAUACGUUUGUAAAGCGGCGAACGGGUGAGGAAUACAUGGGUAACCUACCCUCGAGUGGGGAAUAACUAGCCGAAAGGUUAGCUAAUACCGCGUACGCUCCUUGGACUUCGGUUCAGGGAGGAAAGCGAUACCGUGGGUAUCGCGCUCUUGGAUGGGCUCAUGUCCUAUCAGCUUGUUGGGAGGUAACGGCUCACCAAGGCUUCGACGGGUAGCUGGUCUGAGAGGACAAUCAGCCACACUGGCACUGCGACACGGGCCAGACUCCUACGGGAGGCAGCAGUAAGGAAUAUUGCGCAAUGGGCGAAAGCCUGACGCAGCGACGCCGCGUGGGGGAUGAAGGUC